AGAGUUUGAUCAUGGCUCAGGACGAACGCUGGCGGCGUGCCUAAUACAUGCAAGUUGAGCGCUGAAGGUUGGUACCUGUACCAACUGGAUGAGCAGCGAACGGGUGAGUAACGCGUGGGGAAUCUGCCUUUGAGCGGGGGACAACAUUUGGAAACGAAUGCUAAUACCGCAUAAAAACUUUAAACACAAGUUUUAAGUUUGAAAGAUGCAAUUGCAUCACUCAAAGAUGAUCCCGCGUUGUAUUAGCUAGUUGGUGAGGUAAAGGCUCACCAAGGCGAUGAUACAUAGCCGACCUGAGGGGGUGAUCGGCCACAUUGGGACUGAGACACGGCCCAAACUCCUACGGGAGGCAGCAGUAGGGAAUCUUCGGCAAUGGACGAAAGUCUGACCGAGCAACGCCGCGUGAGUGAAGAAGGUUUUCGGAUCGUAAAACUCUGUUGGUAGAGAAGAACGUUGGUGAGAGUGGAAAGCUCAUCAAGUGACGGUAACUACCCAGAAAGGGACGGCUAACUACGUGCCAGCAGCCGCGGUAAUACGUAGGUCCCGAGCGUUGUCCGGAUUUAUUGGGCGUAAAGCGAGCGCAGGUGGUUUAUUAAGUCUGGUGUAAAAGGCAGUGGCUCAACCAUUGUAUGCAUUGGAAACUGGUAGACUUGAGUGCAGGAGAGGAGAGUGGAAUUCCAUGUGUAGCGGUGAAAUGCGUAGAUAUAUGGAGGAACACCGGUGGCGAAAGCGGCUCUCUGGCCUGUAACUGACACUGAGGCUCGAAAGCGUGGGGAGCAAACAGGAUUAGAUACCCUGGUAGUCCACGCCGUAAACGAUGAGUGCUAGAUGUAGGGAGCUAUAAGUUCUCUGUAUCGCAGCU
rnacentral:rRNA from 1 species